UACGUAGGGUGCAAGCGUUAUCCGGAAUUAUUGGGCGUAAAGAGCUCGUAGGCGGUUUGUCGCGUCUGCUGUGAAAACUGGGGGCUCAACCCCCAGCCUGCAGUGGGUACGGGCAGACUAGAGUGCGGUAGGGGAGAUUGGAAUUCCUGGUGUAGCGGUGGAAUGCGCAGAUAUCAGGAGGAACACCGGUGGCGAAGGCGGUUCUCUGGGCAUGAUCUGACGCUGAGGAGCGAAAGUGUGGGGAGCGAACAGG
rnacentral:rRNA from 1 species